CCUACGGGAGGCAGCAGCGAGGAAUCUUGGUCAAUGGGCGCAAGCCUGAACCAGCGACGCCGCGUGGAGGAUGAAGGCCCUUGGGUUGUAAACUCCUUUUGGGUGGGAAGAAGCUCUGACGGUACCACCCGAAUAAGCCCCGGCUAACUACGUGCCAGCAGCCGCGGUAAU
rnacentral:rRNA from 1 species